UUGGACUUGUCAUCACAUAAUCACUACUCUUAUAAAAAUCCAAACACUCCCCUGUUUCUAACAACUCUGAAUCAAUGGCAUCCAUCACCACCGAUGCAACAAAACACAUCAUCUCAGAAAUUCCUACCUAUAUCACAGUCUACAGCGACGGCACCGUCGACCGUCCACGGCAAGCACCGACAGUACCACCCAAUCCCGACCACCCAAAUUCACCAUCCAAAGACAUCAUCAUCUCUCAAAACCCCAACAUCUCUGCUCGUAUCUACCUCCCCAAAAACCCCACUACAAAACUUCCCAUCUUGGUCUUCUUCCAUGGCGGUGGUUUCUUCUUUGAAUCCGCUUUCUCCAAACUCUACCACGAACACUUCAACGUCUUCGUUCCGCAAGCAAAUUCAAUAGUUGUUUCUGUUGAAUACAGACUUGCUCCAGAACACCCUCUACCUGCUUGUUAUAAUGAUUGUUGGAACUCACUCCAAUGGGUUGCUUCCAAUUCUGCCCCAAACCCCGUUAACCCGGAAUCAUGGUUAAUUAACCACGGUGAUUUCAACAGAGUUUUCAUUGGUGGUGAUAGUGCUGGUGGUAACAUAGUUCAUAACAUCGCUAUGCGUGCUGGCUCUGAAGCUUUACCUAAUGGUGUUAAACUAUUAGGAGCUAUUUUACAACAGCCUUAUUUCUAUAGUUCAUACCCUGUUGGAUUAGAAAGUGUUAAACUUAAGAGUUCUGAUAAAGAUUUCCACUAUUCUGUUUGGAAUUUUGUGUAUCCUUCAGCACCCGGUGGGAUUGAUAAUCCUAUGAUUAAUCCUGUGGGUAUAGGGGCACCUAGUUUGGAUGGACUUGGUUGUGACAGGAUUAUUAUUUGUGUUGCUGGGAAAGAUGGAAUUAGGGAGAGAGGGGUUUGGUAUUAUGAGCUUGUGAAGAAGAGUGGUUGGAAAGGGAAAUUGGAAUUGUUUGAAGAAGAAGAUGAAGAUCAUGUUUAUCAUAUCUUUCAUCCUGAAUCUGAGAGUGGUCAAAAAUUGAUCAAGCAUUUGGCUUCCUUUCUUCAUGAGUAAGGAAAUGUUUUUCCUUUAUGUGUUUGUGUUGUACUGUUUUAGAUUGCAAUAGUAGCAAUCAUCAUGAGAUGUUUUUGUGUUACUAAUUACUAUUACUAAUAAUAAUUAUUUCUUGUGAUCAUGUACUUGUGAGUUAAUUAGUAAGUGUAUUGUGUAAUUAUAAAGUUCAUUAUGGGUUAAUCGUCGUAUUCCAUGUUAUAUUUUGCACACCACAAAUUCUUCAAAAAAGUUUGUAUAAAAUAUCUUCAUGCUAACCGAUGCUCGUGACACAAUUGCUUAAGAAAAGAAAAAAAAAUUGAAUUUGAAAAGAGCAAUAUCUUUUUUACACUUUAAUGGUUGUUACACAAGUUCCGAAAUUGUUUUGGUAUAUUUGGUAGGGGCAACCGAUAAGCUAUAAGCUAUAAGCUAUAACCUCAAAUGUGAAUAGCGUCUGAAAAAUAAAUUAUAAGUUCGUGGUGAAAAGAGCGUUACCAAACAAGAUUUUUUUGUCAAAUGAACUUAUGAACUAUCUACUAUAAACUAUAAGCUAGCUUUUUAACCUUGAGAAAGAGAGCCAUUGCAUCAAUUGAUAUGCAUAACUCACUUUUGGUAGAUCAACCUUUUUGCCUUAAGCUAAGGCCUUUUGGGACAAUGUUUUUCUCUCUCCAAUACAAGAAAGUUUCUUAUCUUGAAAUCUUCAACCUUUCUGCCUUAUAUAAUACAAGAAAGUUGGUUAUCAUUUUUGCUGUAAGAGCUAUAAUGUAAUUUUGAUUUUUCUCAGUAUUCAAUUUACAUUUGCAUGAUUACAAAAUUAUGGUAAAACACCAAAUUACAUUGGUUCUAGUGGAAUUGAUUUUAAAUCCCUUAAAUAAUUUACUCACUCCAUCCUAAAUUGUAAGGAAAAAAAUCAAAUAACAUUUGUUAAGAAAACUAAAAUAUAAGAAAUUGGAGUAUAAUUUUGUGUUUUUUUAGGAAUAAGUUUCAUAGGAAGAUGUAAAAUAAUUUUCAUUGGCUAUUGAUUAUGUAGAAAAUGAAAAAAAAUAGAAAACUGAAUGUAAUUUGCAUUUAAUUUCAUGAGAAUAAGCAAAAAAAAUUCUUGAAAAAAAAUGAUUAAAAAGAAAAGAUUAAAUAGAAUAAAAGUUUAUCUUUUGCUUAUAUUUUGCGACAAAAAAGUAAGUUUUUUUUUUUUUUAUUAUUUUUUUUUUAUAAAUAUUUUGGGACAGAGGAAAUAUUCAGUUUGAGGUUUGUGGAAGGAUGACAAAAACAUCCAUAAAUGUCUCCAAAUCUGGAUUAUCCGUUUGGCAGAUAUAAAAUGAACACAUGUAUCAUACUUAGCGCAAUCAUUGAUGCCUAUUUACAUUCAUAAAGAGGAGUAUUUGUUUGUUAGCUGUAAAUAUUGUGUUUCAUGUAGCACUUGAGUGAUAUAGAGUUAGGUGAUAUUGACCAAUCACAAUGUCAUAAUGUUUGUGUUUCUCUCUCUUUCACAAACAUUGUGACAUUGUGAUUGACCAAUGUCACCUAACUCUAUGUCACACAAUGAACUUUAUGAUGAAUAUAACGUUUUAAAAUCAUAACAUUAUUGAAUCCAAUGAAUUAAGAUCAUCUCCAUAUAUACUAAUAGAUAUAUUUCCAUUUAUUGCAGGAAAUGAAUAAUGUUUGUGUUUCUCUCUUUCACAAACAUUGUGACAGACCAAUAUCACCAAUGUCACCUAACUCUAUAUCAUACAAUGGACUUUGUGAUGAAUAUAAUAACCUUUUAAAAUCAUAACAUUAUUGAAUCCAAUGAAUUAAGAUCAUCUCCAUAUAUACUAAUGGAUAUAUUUUCAUUUAUUGCAGGAAAUGAAUAGAAUUUUAACUCAAAUCCAAUGUAAACAUACCACUCUAAGAGUACUAACACAUUAUCCUCUCCAUAUAUAAUAAUGGAAUUUUCUCUCUAGUAUCUCUGAAUCAAUGGCAACCACCGAUGUACCAAAACACAUUAUCUCUGAAAUUCCUACCUAUAUCACAGUCUACAGCGACGGCACAGUCGACCGUCCACGGCAACCACCGACGGUACCACCCAAUCCCAACCACCCAAACUCACCAUCCAAAGACAUCAUCAUCUCUCAAAACCCCAAUAUCUCCGCUCGUAUCUACCUCCCCAAAAACCCCACCACAAAACUCCCCAUCUUAGUCUUCUUCCAUGGCGGUGGUUUCUUCUUCGAGUCCGCUUUCUCCAAAGUGCACCACGAACACUUCAACAUCUUCAUUCCACUAGCAAAUUCAAUAGUUGUUUCUGUUGAAUAC
rnacentral:lncRNA from 1 species